UAUUAAAGUUGUUGCGGUUAAAAAGCUCGUAGUUGAAUCUGUGUGUCGCGCUGCCGGUUCACCGCCCGCGGUGUAAACUGGCACGUCCGCGACACGUCCUGCCGGUGGGACGCGGCGGGGCCUAGGGGAACGUCCGGCUGGCUCGCGUUCAGCCUCCGUGUCCGUCUCUGGUUCGCACCGAGCGGGCUCGCGCUGAGCGCUGCCACCGUGGCGCGGCCCCAGGCUGCAACCGUCCGUCCCGACUUGAAAUCCUACCGCGGUGCUCUUUACUGAGUGUCGAGGUGGGCCGGCACGUUUACUUUGAACAAAUUAGAGUGCUCAAAGCAGGCUAAAACUUCGCCUGAAUACUGCGUGCAUGGAAUAAUGGAACAGGACCUCGGUUCUAUUUUGUUGGUUUUCGGAACCCCGAGGUAAUGAUUAAUAGGGACAGAUGGGGGCAUUCGUAUUGCGACGUUAGAGGUGAAAUUCUUGGACGUCGCAAGACGGACAGAAGCGAAAGCAUUUGCCAAAGAUGUUUUCAUUAAUCAAGAACGAAAGUCAGAGGUUCGAAGGCGAUCAGAUACCGCCCUAGUUCUGACCAUAAACGAUGCCAGCUAGCGAUCCGCCGACGUUCCUCCGAUGACUCGGCGGGCAGCUCCCGGGAAACCAAAGCUUAUGGGUUCCGGGGGAAGUAUGGUUGCAAAGCUGAAACUUAAAGGAAUUGACGGAAGGGCACCACCAGGAGUGGAGCCUGCGGCUUAAUUUGACUCAACACGGGAAAUCUUACCAGGCCCAGACACCGGAAGGAUUGACAGAUUGAGAGCUCUUUCUUGAUUCGGUGGGUGGUGGUGCAUGGCCGUUCUUAGUUGGUGGAGCGAUUUGUCUGGUUAAUUCCGAUAACGAACGAGACUCUGACCUGCUAACUAGGCGUUACUUUCUGGCAUCUCGAAGGCUCGUGUCUCCCGUUAGCCGGGUGGUCUGCGGGUGUCGCGUGUCGCUCGCGCUCUGGCGCGGCCCGUCGUCUUCGUGGCGGCGUGGCCCGUUGGUCCGCGUGCUCGCGCGCGCCCCGUCCUAUCGGUCGGGCAGAUGCGGCUUUUACUGCCAGCGUACAAAUGAAUCUUCUUAGAGGGACAGGCGGCUCCUAGCCGCACGAGAUUGAGCAAUAACAGGUCUGUGAUGCCCUUAGAUGUUCUGGGCCGCACGCGCGCUACACUGAAGGAAUCAGCGUGUCUUCCCUGGCCGAGCGGCCCGGGUAACCCGCUGAACCUCCUUCGUGCUAGGGAUCGGGGCUUGCAAUUGUUCCCCGUGAACGAGGAAUUCCCAGUAAGCGCGAGUCAUAAGCUCGCGUUGAUUACGUCCCUGCCCUUUGUACACACCGCCCGUCGCUACUACCGAUUGAAUGAUUUAGUGAGGUCUUCGGACCGGCACGCGGCGAAGUUUCGACUUCGCCGAUGUCGUUGGGAAGAUGACCAAACUUGAUCAUUU
rnacentral:rRNA from 1 species